rnacentral:rRNA from 1 species
CCUACGGGUGGCUGCAGUGGGGAAUAUUGCACAAUGGGCGCAAGCCUGAUGCAGCCAUGCCGCGUGUGUGAAGAAGGCCUUCGGGUUGUAAAGCACUUUCAGCGGGGAGGAAGGCGGUGAGGUUAAUAACCUCAUCGAUUGACGUUACCCGCAGAAGAAGCACCGGCUAACUCCGUGCCAGCAGCCGUGGUAAUACGGAGGGUGCAAGCGUUAAUCGGAAUUACUGGGCGUAAAGCGCACGCAGGCGGUCUGUCAAGUCGGAUGUGAAAUCCCCGGGCUCAACCUGGGAACUGCAUUCGAAACUGGCAGGCUAGAGUCUUGUAGAGGGGGGUAGAAUUCCAGGUGUAGCGGUGAAAUGCGUAGAGAUCUGGAGGAAUACCGGUGGCGAAGGCGGCCCCCUGGACAAAGACUGACGCUCAGGUGCGAAAGCGUGGGGAGCAAACAGGAUUAGAUACCCGUGUAGUC